rnacentral:tRNA from 1 species
UAGCUCAGAUGGUAAAGCAUCUGCCUGCAAAGCAGGAGACCUGGGUUCAAUCCCCGG